UCAGUGGUGAAAUCCCAGAGCUUAACUCUGGAACUGCCAUUGAAACUGCUGGGCUAGAAUCUCAGAGGGGGUAGCGGAAUUCCAAAUGUANGGGUGAAAUCCGUAGAUAUUUGGAGGAACACCGGUGGCGAAGGCGGCUACCUGGAUGAGUAUUGACACUGAGGCUCGAAAGCGUGGGGAUCAAACAGGAUUAGAUACCCUGGUAGUCCACGCUGUAAACGAUGGAUGUUAGUUGUUGGGGGGUUCCCCCUCAGUGACGUAGCUAACGCGUUAAACAUCCCGCCUGGGGAGUACGGCCGCAAGGUUAAAACUCAAAGAAAUUGACGGGGACCCGCACAAGCGGUGGAGCAUGUGGUUUAAUUCGAGGCAACGCGAAGAACCUUACCAGGCCUUGACAUGUCCAGUUUGGAUUCCAGAGAUGGAUUCCUUCACCUAGGGUGGCUGGAACACAGGUGCUGCAUGGCUGUCGUCAGCUCGUGUCGUGAGAUGUUGGGUUAAGUCCCGCAACGAGCGCAACCCUCGUCCUUAGUUGCCAUCAGGUAAUGCUGGGAACUCUAAGGAAACUGCCCGUGAUAAGCGGGAGGAAGGUGGGGACGACGUCAAGUCAUCAUGGCCCUUACGGCCUGGGCUACACACGUGCUACAAUGGCAUCGAACCAAAGGGCAGCUAACCCGCAAGGGUAUGCGAAUCCCUAAACGAUGUCUCAGUUCGGAUUGUCCUCUGCAACUCGAGGGCAUGAAGC
rnacentral:rRNA from 1 species